rnacentral:lncRNA from 1 species
UACAGGUUCCGAGUCAGCAGGUCUGGGGUGGGUCUGAGAUUCACCAUUUCUAUCACCCUCUCAGGGAUGACAACACUGCCGCUCUAGGGACUAGCUUUGUGUAGUGAGGGGCUCCAUCACCUCAGAUUCAACUCUAAAGCCGAGGUAUUAUAGUGAACCCCCAAUUGCUAGGUAAACAAGGAGUGUUGAUUUUCUCUUGAUAGGACAGUGAAAUUUCUCCAGCUGUAGCUUGUAUUGCUGUUCCUCACACUUGACCUUUUCUGUCUCAAACACAUUUCACGUGCCCUGAGUAUGGAGCUUGCAGGCUUCAGCGUUGCCUGUGUGAGGCUGUCCUAUGAGGCCGGAAGUGGGUAGCUGACGUGGAAGGCCAAUAAGCGUGUGCAUGAGUGGGACCAGAACAAAACCAGUGCUGACUUAGCAUCUUCACUUCAGAAGAAGCUUAUUGGUGAGCAACAGAAGUUAGAAGAAGGUUUCAAGUCUCACCACUUCCCAUUCCCCUGAUAAGAAAGCCCAGAUGCUCCUGCCUUUGGCACCAGCCAAAAGACACAAGUCCAAAACCACAGGAGCCCAAGCCAGCCUCCUUUCCCUGCUCCCUCAAGCCACUUUAGAACACCUUGGGGACCUGCCCCACUCUCCCCGGAGAGAGACCAGAGCACAGCUUAUAUAAGCCGGAGAACUGAAAAGAAAAGAUGAAAUGCCUUUUAGCAGUCAGCGUGUGUGUAAGAGAAUGAGACUCUUCCUGAGAUUUCCUGUAAUUAUUUGGAAGGAAUGAGAAGUCGUCUGGAACCAGAGAAAGACCAUUUUGAGGCUGUCGUUCUUCCCGUAGGCAGGGGAGGCCUGAGAAGCUAUGGUUACAGUAAAUGGGCUGGUGAGGUCACUGGUCUUGGGACGCUUUCCUUUGGCGACAUGAAAGGUAGAGCCUUUUUUCAGUUGUUUCCAGUGGUUGUUUUAUUUAGCUGAUCUCAAAUGGAACCUAAUAGACCUACCUAAUGGUUUCAAACAGCAUUGAUUUGGUUCUUUCUUAGACUGAAGUGCCAAUGUUCAGAGCUUUGACGUUUGGUGAGCGCUUCCCCAUUCUUUCCCCUUCCCUGACACCAUGGCCCUGCAUUCCACCCUUGCUAGGCAGUCUGCUCCUCAAGUGAAGGGACCCUGCCUCAUUCUUCUUUGUACCUUCAGAAGCUAGCUCUGUGCCAGACACCUGUUUGUUAGAUGAAUGAAUGAAUUACACAGAGCACCAGGUUCAGAUCAAUAAGCAAUGCCAUGGAAAAUAAGGAAAAAUAAAAGGGGUCAUUCAAUGUGUGGUCGCUCACAAACACUGUACACUUCUCAGUGUUUAGUAGCGGGUGUGUAUAGGGCUACUCACAUAUUGAUUGCUCUGUUAUUCCCAUCAAAUUAGUCAUUUGAGAUGCCAACUUUAAUUUGCUGGAGUGGCUCUUUUUCAACAUAACUCUGAAGAAAAAAAAACAAGGCACCAUAACACUUUCCUGACAUAACAGCAUCAAAGGCCCCUGCUUACAGGAUAUUACCUAGAUCUGUGAAUGUGGCCGGGGCCCACCCGGCCAUUCAUUGGUUACAAUGUUGUAUUUCUCCCACAUGAUAUGGAAAAUGCAUGUUUUGAGAAGAAAUUGAAAGCACUUCCUUACCCGCAUAGACGUCUCAUUUUGACCUCUGGUGGGGGUUGAGUCGCCAGUUUGGCUGAGGGUGCUUACCCUCACCUUUCUCCCAAACGCGGUCAGGGAGAAGCUAGGCCUCCUUUGUCUCGUUUGUCUGUCUAGGCGUGUAACUGCAAUGGAGGAGGUACUGCUUUUCCUUGAACUACUCCCAUUUUCCUUGAGUUCAGAGGAAAUCCACUGUGGGUUGGCUCCACUGAGGCGUCAGAGGAUGUCAGAAUGGCAUCUAGAGCAGAGUCUCUUGCUGGUCUCUUUCUCUCUGUGGACUGGCAUCAGUUAUCUGAAUUUCCUAGCAAGGCUCAAAGGGGAGUGGGAGAGAGAGGGCCCAAGCAGCAGCAUCUUAGUGGAUAGGUCAGAAGCAAGCAAGAGGAGGGAAAUAUGCCCAAGGGCCUGCACUGGAGCAACAUUGAUCUAGAAAAUUCCUAUCUCUGAGAUCCCAGUUAAUCGUGCAUUAACAGCAGUUUAAAGGCCUCCUGCUUCUCUUUAAGUAAGCAUUGUAAGUUAUCUGCUUUUCAAAUUACUUUGGAAACAAACUCGAGUAGAAAGCAUCAUCAUAGCCUGGGUCUGGCAUAGAGUGCAUUAGCUUUGCCAUCGCCCUGCUGAUUUAAUUGGCCCAGUAAGCACGCUUGAGGUGUUUGGGAUUGUAAUUAAAGUUGUGGUGCCUGGAAAAUCCUCCGUCUGUUAUUAUAAUUUUUUUCUAAAAUAAACUAUCCUAGCUCACCAAACUUGUGGAGCUAAUUAGAGCCUAAUUAAAGUUACUUGUUUCUAUUUUAAAAUCUGCCCACUGAGAGAGCUGCAAGGCAGGAGGGAACAUAUUUUUAAAGUGACAGUUCUAAAAAUGCUUCCCACUCUGGUCUCUGAGCUUCAUUGCUCUGAUUCAUGCAUUGAUUGAUUUCCAAUGAAAAUGAUGGCCUGCCUCCUUCCUUCUUCACUGCAGCUCUGCUCCCAGGGCCCCCUCCCAUUUAGCUGUGUGAAAGGAUUUGUUUAAUGAACAAAGGACCCUUCUUUGUCAUUUAUCUUCCAGCCAAAGAAGCUGACCAGGCAUUCAGAGGGGAAGCCAUCUAGAAAAGGGCUCAUGACAAAAUCUGGAGCAGGGAGACCAGGAAUCAGUACAGUAUUGAAUCUGAAGUGGAAAGGGAGACGGCAUUUGUUGAGGACUUACUAUGGUACGAAACGUGGCUCUCAACGGUUUCUACCCACUUUCUAAUUUAAAGCUCACUACAACCCAACCAGCUAAGUAUUUUGUAUCAUAGAUUUUACAGAUAAGGAAACAAGGAGCAAAGAAAUGUGAAAUCAUUUUCCUGAGGCCACUGAGCUAAUAGUGGUGGAUCUGGGAUCCAAAGCAACACCUGAUUCAAAAGUCUGCUUCUCCAGGACAAUCUCUAGCCACUCUGCCAUGAUCCCUCCUGAAAAGUUGUUACUAGGGCAGUAAUCCCCUCUCUGCCUCAGGCGACUUCUUCUGUAAAAUGGAAAUAACAGUACCCAGGCUGCCACUUGUCUGAGUUGUAAUGAACAGAUAAGAUGAGGAAUUUGAAAGUUCUUAAAAAAUAUAAGGCAAUACUGAUAGAUUGGUCUUAGCAGAACCAUGAAUCAUAUACCUUUAUAUUAUUAGCCUCUUUAGGAGUAUUGCUUUUAUAAUCUUUAUGCCAGAGGCAACUAAUAAAAUACAUGUCUUAGACCAUUUCCCUUGGGUCAGAAACCUCUGCCGAAAUGCACGAGCCCUCCCUUCUAGAUAGCCGACUGUUUUUACCUGAGAGCACUCUGUUAUGCAUUACUAAAAGAGCUCUAAAAUAGCAGUGGGCCAACUUGAUUUGUAGUCUAUCUCUCCCCUAAUUGUUCCCUAGCUCCUCUUUUUCCUGUGACCCCAGAGCACUAAUAUCUGAGGCCAGGGUGUUCUCUUGGUGGCUGCUCUGGCUCCCCAUGCCACUCCACACAGUAGACCACACUCUCUCCUAUGCCCUCUGAAAGGAGGCAGAAGUCAGACAGGGCCUGGACUAGGCUGAGGCAGUGAAGUGUCCAGGGUAUCAGAUUUAAGGAAGCACCCACUCCCAGGGUUAUCUGAGUCCAGGGUUUUCCCCUGAAAGUGAAUGCCUCCUUAAAUUUUGCACUCUAGGUGCCUCACUUGCCUAAUCCUAGUCCAGCGCCCAAAGAAGUCAUAUAUCCUACAGUCACUGGUGCCACAUGCAUCUUAGAACAGGUUUGCAAACAUUUUCUGAGGAUCUGGUUGUGGCUUUAAUUAAUUUUGUAUAUUUUUUCCUUGUCUAGACUCUGCUAGUUUUCUAUAGUACGUACCACCCCAGUAAGAAAAUCUAGCUUAUAAGCAAAAUAAAAAUAGUUACAAUUUAUUGAUUGCCUACUGAAAGCCAGGUCUGUAAUUAGCUACUUUGCAUACAUUAUUUCUAAUCAUCACAAUAACUCUUUUUUGCUUAAGAGAACUGAUGCUCAGAGAAGUUCAGUUUAGCAAACUCCAUAUUUGUUGCAGAACUGGAAAAGAUAGUUUGGCUGUAGUAGGAAGGAGGUUGUCUAAAUUCCCAAAAUCCUCUCGGGCCUAUUGCCUUUAGCUGUUGGAAUCAUUAUUUAGGGAUGCUGUAAACGAAGAGGAGGAUGAAGGACAAGGAAGUUUCUCUGAUCAUUUGAUGAGAAAUGAUAUUGAUGUUCUUGAGUAAGUUUACCCUUAAGCAGAAUUAUAGUGAGCAGCUAUGUUACAAGUGUGAUAUGAAAUAUUUUGAUACAACUGACCAACCCCUGUCUCCUAAAGAGACUAAAUAGUAGUGAAAGGUGUUUUACUUGAGUUACAACACUGUGUAGAUAGUGCAAGGGAUCAACUUCUGAAAUUAAUCCAUUACUACCUAUUAACCCUUUGCAAUGACUAGAGCCCUAAGAAAAUGUGACAAUGUUUUGAUGGGAAAGGGAGACUUUGAAAUGUAUCAUUUUGAGGUCCUACCAAAAAAGCAUGGAAGAAGUAUAAAGGGAGAGGCCCUGAAGACAUACUAUUUAAGUACUGCGCUUGGCUGAGGUGAAGGUCUGACCUUCGUCAGCAAUUCACCAGUGUGGGUGUUUUUCCUUACCCUGUCACCCUAGCACAAGAAAUUGACCACUCAUGCAAUGAUCACACAUAGAGCGUUUAGAGAUCCUUAGCAAGUGGUGCUGUGCUGCGUUACAGUGUUAACAGGGUGACUGGACAUGGAAUUCCAAAUAGCAUUUCACAGAAGUGAUGGACAUGUGGAUAUUUCUCUGCCACCUUGGGGCAAACCUAGAAAUCACAAAGCACUUGAUGGUUUCAUUAGGAAAAUAAUAUUAUAACAUCAUGAAAUACAUUUUAUAAAAUGGAAUAAAAAUCAGCUAUCAUCCUACAACUGAAUACAAUCUUUAUUUUCAGUAUUUUCUAGGCUUUGGUCAUAGGCAUACUCUUGUUGCUUCCUUAAGGCAAAGACUGUAUUUGAAUGAGAGAAAUAAAGGGUAGUGCUGGGUGUGGAACAGGGUCACACAUGUCUGAGAGGCUUCAGCUGCUCCAGCACUGACUUUAGCAGUGAUGAAGAGGCUAUGGUUUUCCAAGUGGCCAGAAGUUUGCAGGCAACGUCAGUGGACAUUCCCCAGCAUGAAGCAAGCAAGAACCAUUCAUAUAUACCUGUGACUGUGAAAGUGGGCAGCUCUGGAUUGGGAACUCACUGGGUUUGGUUUCAUCCAGUUUCUCAAAUCUUGUCACAGCAACAGAGAACAUCACCAGCCAGUAUGACUUCUUCUCUCUUCACCUUCUGUGCCAGUCAGUGCACAGACUGCAUUUAAUUACCUAUUCCAAUAGCCUUCCAGAGCCUGACUAUAAGGCUUACUCAUAAUGUGGUAUCAGAAAAAAAAUCCUGAUUCACUGAAAAUCUCCAAGAACCAUGCCGUUAUUGCCAUUGUACAAAAUGGUACCACCUGACUUUGGUGUAAUUGUUAGAAAACAUGCUUUAUCUUUUUAUUUCAAGUUGCCUAUUUAAUACUAAUAAAUUUAUGAUACUAUACAGUCUUUAAUGGAAAUGUUGGUGUCACCAAAUAUAAAAGAUAGAAUUACAUUUACUUCCCCAUUUUAUAAAUAUGUGUAUUCAGGUUUUACCAGUGUGUACCAUUAUCUGAGGGUGAGCUAGCUACAGUAGUAUUCUGAGAUCAGAGAGGAC